rnacentral:rRNA from 1 species
UACAGAGGGUGCGAGCGUUAAUCGGAAUUACUGGGCGUAAAGCGCACGUAGGUGGCGACGUAAGUCGGGUGUGAAAGCCCCGGGCUCAACCUGGGAAUUGCAUUCGAGACUGUGUUGCCGGAGUACGGAAGAGGAGGGCGGAAUUCCCGGUGUAGCGGUGAAAUGCGUAGAUAUCGGGAGGAACAUCAGUGGCGAAGGCGGCCCUCUGGUCCAGUACUGACACUCAAGUGCGAAAGCGUGGGGAGCAAACAGG